UGCAUGACGCAAGAAAUCGAAAAUAAAAAAUGUAUUGAAGAAGAAAAAACUAGCUUAAAAAAUUCAGUUACAGUUUGCCCAGACAGGUCAAGAAGGAUCGAGAGUGUGCGGCUGUGUAUCUUUGCUUUGCGCAAAGAGAGAGAGAGAGCAGAGCCGUCUAAUCUAAAUUGCGAGUGUGGUCUGGAUUUCUAUAAUCAGUGGAUUGCUUCUUUUUUCUUCAAUCGUGUAACGAGGAUUGAGAGGGAGGUCGAUUUUUUGGUUUUGAUUUGGUUCAUUCUUUUGAUUAGAAAAUUUGGGCGUUUUGUUUGAAAUUUAUAGAAUCGAUGGAAAUUAUUGAUUUUGAAGGUUUGAUUUUAAGUUCAUGGCGAUUUCCAGGUUACCCAGAAUUUGUAAUUGUUGAUUUGGACUAGAAAUGCGGGGAUAUGAUACACUGUGAUUCGAUCGACCAGUUGAGGAAUAUGAUGAUUAUGAGUCCGAGGGGGAUGGAUAUUUGUACGAGGAGGAAUGAGAUGAGUAUGAAGAUGAAGAGGAAAAGGAAGAGGAAGAGGAAGAAGAAGAAGCUCCAAAACGUACCAAGGAAGCAUUGGAGUACCUUGAGUUGAGACAACGCUUGAAAGAACAAGUACGAAGGCAGAUGAAAAAGAAGGAAGGUGGUUCUCGGGCCAACUCCAAUAAUAGAAAGAAGCUCCCCUAUGAUAAAUGUUGUUAUUUAUUGAAUGAUUUGACACUGGAUGAGUUGAGGAGUAAAUGUUCAAGUUAUGAAGAUUUAAAGGACUACCCUAUCUUUGAGAUCGUCAAGCAUAUUUGCAAAAAAGGACUAUGAACAAGAGCCAGGCACCGGGCUUGAUGAAGGACGCUAAACGGUUCUUAGUUUUUAACAAUGUUGACCGAUUGUGGAAGGAGCACUUACAAGCGCUCGAGUAACAUGGAUAGACUAAAGAUGAUUGCUUAUGA